CAGUUUUUUUUUUUUUUUUUUCAAAUCACAAAUUUUAUUUGCCAAGACAAAUGUGCAUCUACUGUACCUUACAUUUUGGAAAACUCCAGAAAGGUACCUAUACAGAAAAUAUUCACUGCUGUUUCCAGCUGAAAUGAACACUAGUGGCAGUAAAACCCUUACAAUUUUUGCUUCUUUGAACAAAUUAUGAUUAUGGGACAGAUUUUGGAAUAAUAAACACUUAUUUUUGCACAGUUCCUUGCACAAUACGAUGUUUUGAGCUCAAAACACUUACCAUAGUCAAAGGCAUAUUUUUGGUGAGAACAUUGGGGUGGGGGGGGGUGUGUCCCGGAUUAAAUGUGGCUUAGUAUUAACCAUUUAGCACCACUCACUAGACAUUUCAUUGAGCUGUAAAAGAUGUUUUGGCCUUUUAUUUGUCUUUUUGGGGUUUCAGCAAAGUUAUAAAACUGGAUAUAACUACACAGAAAUAAUUAGUAUAAAAAAAAUUUCACAGACAAAUCAUGUACACAAGCUUAUCUUAUGUGGCCCUAAUAUUUAAACAGUGAGUAGUAUAACUUUUACAGAUUGUUCCCAUUUUCUUUUUUGAAUGGAGAAAAAAGGUCUAUUUGUUGUGGUAAUGAAAAUUAUGCCUGCAUGAUCUUAACAUAUAUUGGAUCCAGAAUAUUCCUUUAACCAACCUGCCACUCUUGCUUCGAUUGAAGAUUUUCUUAUGACUGUGCGUCUUCAGCACAAAGAUACAGUACACUGCCUACCCACAUGCCAAAUGAAGAAGUUGACAGGUGUGUUCAGCCCGUGAUAAUUAUUCCAAUCAAACCCAACACCUGUUUGCUGCUCUCCUCUCCCACAUGUAUGCUGUUAGCCCCUUGACAUAUGUCACCUCUCAAUCUCACGAGGGCUAAUUCAGCGGUUAGCACAAAGAAAUAAACACAGAUGCUUCUGGCAAACGAAAAAGAUGACCAGCAAUGGCUUGGGCUGCGAAUGUAGUGAUUUCAUAUCAGUACUUUCAGAUCUCUAUCAAGGACUUGAUGGGGUGUGAAGAGGAAACCCACUGCGCUUGGGACUCCGAUAGCCAAUCCCUAAAUCCCCUUCCAUGUCCACCCUGAAACUUUCUUCUGCUAAAUUACCCUCUUGUUUAAAUGGAAUUUGCAGCCAGAUUCAGGCUGAAUUUGUUCCAGAGCGCAGGGCCUGACCGGUAGUCCUAAACAGAUGUUCAAAUAAGCCCAAGAACAACAAGGAGAACCCUUCACACCUGGCAAGUCUCAACGCAAAACUUGGCACCCCAGAACCUGUAGGCUUGUCCUGGCUCAACCUUUCAC
ensembl:lncRNA